rnacentral:rRNA from 1 species
GACGAACGCUGGCGGCGUGCUUAACACAUGCAAGUCGUACGGUAAGGCCCUUUCGGGGGUCCACGAGUGGCGGACGGGGGCGUAACACGUGCGUAACCUUCCCCCAACUUUGGGAUAACGAUAGGAAACUGGAGCUAAUACUGGUAAUGUGUAACUUCUGCAAGGGGGGGGUUGGAAAGCUCCGGCGGUUGUGGAUGGAUUCGCGGCCUAGCAGCUUGUUGGUGGGGUAGUGGCCUACCGAGGCGGCUACGGGUAGCCAGCCUGUGUGGGUGACCGGCCACACUGGGACCGACGUGCGGCCCAGGCACCGACUGGUGGCAGCUGUGGGGAAGCUUGACCGAUCGGCGCCAGCCGGGUGCAGCAACGCCGCGGGUGGUAUGACGGUCUUAUGGUUGUAAACCGCUUUCAUCAGGGACGAAGCUUUUUGUGACGGUACCUGCAGAAGAAGCACCGGCUAACUACGUG